CCUCCCAAGGCUCGCGGAAGGAUGUUUCAGUUAACCUCGGAUGAAGCUAAAGCUAGCCCGGACGUGGUUUCAGGCACAAAGAAGGAAGAAGGCGCGAGUCACUCAAAGGCACAAUCAUCACAAGAUCGCGGUAAAUCUCUUGCUUGAAUGCAGCGCGCCUGAACCGAACACACACACGAAACGUCGAAUCUAAGCGCUUCCGGUCCAAGUUGUUUGUUUGAUGGGUUAACUUACCAUUUUGAUUAGUAAAUGUUAUUUUGUAUGUGUCUAGUUUGUUAGU